CCGUAUAAGAAAGGACCGGCUAACUUCGUGCCAGCAGCCGCGGUAAGACGGGGGGUCCUAGCGUUGUUCGGAAUCAUUGGGCGUAAAGCGUGUGCAGGUGGUUUGUAAAGUUGGAUGUGAAAGCCUUGGGCUUAACCCAAGAAGUGCAUUCAAAACUGCCAAACUUGAGUAGGGAAGAGGGUCGUGGAAUUCCAGGUGUAGUGGUGAAAUACGUAGAUAUCUGGAGGAACACCGGUGGCGAAGGCGGCGACCUGGUCCUNUACUNACACUCAUACACGAAAGCGUGGGGAUCAAACAGGAUUAGAUACCCUGGUAGUCCACGCUGUAAACGAUGGAUACUUGGUGUUGAAGGUAUUGACCCCUUCAGUGCCGGAGCUAACGCGUUAAGUAUCCCGCCUGGGGAGUACGGUCGCAAGAUUAAAACUCAAAGAAAUUGACGGGGGCCCGCACAAGCGGUGGAGAAUGUGGUUUAAUUCGAUGCAACGCGAAAAACCUUACCUGGGUUUGGCAUCCUCUGAACGCCGUAGAGAUACGGAAGGCCCGAAAG
rnacentral:rRNA from 1 species